UGUAAAUAUUUUUUUCCUCGUAGACCUUUAUGUUUGGUGGAGCAUAUGUCAUUGGACAACGAAAGUGACUUAGAUCCACCCGGUGUAAGAGUCAGGUGCGUGAUCAGACACUAAGCAUAAUAAAAAGUAAUAUCGAACUAAUGGUUGCUACAAAUGGUGGCAACAUGGCUGUAAUAAUCCCACAUUCGAUGGGAGUUUUGCAUUUUAUGAAAUGGGUGGAGGUGCAGGCUAAGCAUAUAAAGGCUGUGAUGAACAUCGGUGGGCCCCUUUUAGGUGUUCCGAAAGCUGUUUCUGGACUUUUCUCCGCCGAAGAUAGAGAUAUUGAUGUUGCCAGGGGCUAUUGCACCGGGUGUAUUGGAUAAGGACUUAUUCGGAUACAAACUUUACACCACAUAAUGAGGAUGACUAGGACAUGGGAUUCGAGUUCGACUAUGUCUGUGUACCAAAGAUAUUCUCCUACCAAAAGAAAGCAAAUUAACAAGAAGAUGGAAACAUAAGAUCGAAACAAAAACAUGUCCAUUGUAUCGUUCGGAAAAGACGUGGCCAAGGCAGAUUUUUCCGAGAUUCUGAGGAUUGAUUUUAGGGUUGUCAAAUGCUCCCCCGGCUUGGAGGUGUUCUCAAUGUACGGAAUCGGAAUCCCGACGAAGCGGGCCUAUGUGUACAAGCAGGUCCCGCGGCAGAUUGCGACAUCCCGUUCCAAAUCGACACGUCUAAAUAUACACAUCAGAUUAUGUGGACACACCCCAAACCAAAGGUAAGGUUUGCUGAAAAGAGGACUAGGAUUGAGAAGGCUGGUGGAGAAUGUCCAGACUCAUCAUCCACAUCACCUACAAAACCGUGACUUACGCACACGAGGAACAGUUGAGCAUUUUUUUCUAGAUUUUAAUUUAUUUUAAACUAAACAAGAAUAUCUUAUCAGCCAUUGAA